AUGAGCCCGGAAAGAUGCAGCUCAGAGGAUGAGCCCGGAAAGAUGCGUUCGAUUAACAGAAACACCAACCCUGAGGAAGAGGACAGUCAAUGUACUAGGAUCCUAGUGGGUCAUGAGGACACCAGGGAAAUCCGGACUUUGACAUUCAAAAUGUAUCUCCAGGGCCGCCUGGGGGGCUCAGUGGUUGAGCACCUGCCUUCAGCCCAGGGCGUGACCCCGGGGUCCCAGGAUCGAGUCCUGCAUUGGGCUCCCCGCAUGGAGCCUGCUUCUCCUCCCUCUGCCUCUGUCUCUGCCUCUCUCUGUGCAUCUUUCAUGAAUAAAUAAAUAAAAUCUUAAAAAAAAAAAACCCUGUAUCUCCAAACCAUUAUCCACUCCAGGACGAGGCAGAGGAAAACAAU
rnacentral:lncRNA from 12 species